rnacentral:rRNA from 1 species
UCGAGAAUAUUCCUCAAUGGACGAAAGUCUGAAGGAGCGACGCCGCGUGCAGGAUGAAGGCCUUCGGGUUGUAAACUGCUUUUUUCAGGGAAAAAUUUGUGAUUGUACCUGGAGAAUAAGAGGUUACUAACUCUGUGCCAGCAGUAGCGGUAAUACAGAGACCUCAAGCGUUAUCCGGAUUUAUUGGGCGUAAAGAGCAUGUAGGCGGAUUUGCUAGUCAGACGUCAAAUCCUCGAGCUUAACUCGAGAACUGCGUUUGAAACGGCAAAUCUGGAGUCAGUGAGAGACCAGUGGAACAUAUGGUGUAGCAGUGAAAUGCGUUGAUAUCAUAUGGAACACCAAAGGCGAAGGCAUCUGGUUGGCACUGUACUGACGCUGAGAUGCGAAAGCGUGGGUAGCGAAUGGG